CAGGGCAACCUGGAGGCCCUGCUUAAGGUGACCUCUGAUCUAGCAUUAGAGCUCACCAAAAAAAUGGAGGUUUUGGAAAAACUUCAGAAAGAUGCCACUGAAGUGCUCCAAAAUCUGGAAGAUUAUGAAGAAGUUAUGAAGCAAGUAGCUGACAAGCAAAAAGAACUUUUACCAUUCCUGGAGAGGAAGGCAGUGAUGGAGUUAACCAAGCCACUACAAGAGGUAUACACUCAUGAUUCAACC